ACUUCCGCGUUCACCUACUUAGGUCCGGAUUUCCUGCCCAGUGCCACACCUACAGGUGUGGAAGGAAGCUGCAUUACUUUAGUUGUGAGAGUGCUGCGAAUGUGAAACUGUCUGACUUGCAGACAUCUUCCAAGAGCAUUCGUGUACAUUCAGUAUUUUGCUCUUCCAAACAAACUUUGGAAAGAGAAGAGGCGAAAUUCACUGGGACGCCUCUGGCGCUUCUUUUCCGUCUCAGACUGAGAUAAGGCAAGUGGCACAAGCAGUGUUCGCUUAAUUAACGAACCCAUUAAGCAGCCAGAAAAUGACAUAAGCCAUUCUGUGGCCCGUAUGCCCAGCCUCUGGACUCUCCUGACCAUACAUGUCAUACUCCAGCUUCAGAGUCAAGACGGGUUUAGAAUAAUAGUGCUCUUCCAAACAACUUGCUCAGUGUGACUUCCCUCUCACUCCUGCACAUCAGGCCAUGGAGUUCCAUGUUCAGAACACAGCCCAAAGAAAUGGGCAACAAGGUGACCCUGCAGACAGUGCCACAGGCAUGGACAUCUCUUCUCUCUUCCAUCUCGUUCCCUGUUGCACUCAGGGACAACUGGGAUGGCUGUGUUGAUCUUCACUCCCAAGGAGGUAAGGGCACACUAGGAGACAGACUGCCAGAUGUUCUCAAAUAGGGCAAUGGUCUUUGGGCAGAUAACCCCUAAAUUGUUACCCCUCAUUGUGGAAAAAGUAUAUAUUUUUUUCUAUCUUACAAGAUUACAGAAUGUCCAAAAGAAGAUAUUAUAAAAAGAUCUUCUUAAUUUUAAAACUAUAAGGGGCUGGGAAUAUAGCUCAGUGGUACAGCACUUGCCUAGCAUGUGUGAGUCCCUGGGUUUCAUCCCCAGUACCAAAAAAUCCAAACCAAGCCAAUAUAGAAUAAUUCAGUAAUAAGGAAGCUAUUUACAUAUGUAGAAAUUGUCAAGUGGCAAUGGAUGCUUUUAUAACAGAUUUAAAAGACAGAAAAUGACUUACCUUCCCUCUCUCCAUUUCAUAAAUAUGUCCUACUAUGUAAACUACAGAGUAUAUAUGAGUAAACAAGACAGAUGAAAUCCCUGCCAUUAAGCAGGUUACCUAUUAGAUUAAAAAUUCUAAUAAAUAUCCAUUCUCUCAGGUGCUAAAAGUUCUCUGUAGAAAUUCAAAGCAGGGAAAGGGGAGAUGGAAACCAAGGGAGAAGAGAAGCAAUGGUUAAGAUCAGGUGGCUUGGGUCGGGCUGGGUGAUAAGGUGACCUCUGAGCAAAGGCCUGAAGAAAAUGAAAUAGCAGGAUAUAGCUAUCUAGAGAAGAAUGUUCCAGGCAGAGCUAAGAGUAGGGACAAAGAUCCUAAGGUAGAAGGAACAUCAAGGGACCCGGAGUGGCAGGGGCCUUGAGGUGUAGGCAGAUCCUGCCAGAUCUUGGAGGUGAUACUGUGUCCUUGAUAAUUCUAUUCCGAAUGAGAUGCAAAGUGCUCAUGAGGUGGAAGACAAAGCAGAGAUACUCUCUAGAAUGAUUUAAUAUGACUUAUGCUUAAAAAAAAACUUUUAUUAAUAUCCAAGAGACAUAAAGAACUGCAUUAAUCACGUGGUAUAACUUUUUCACCCCAAAUUCCAUGCAGUAUAAUUUAUUUUAUAGCAUACAUUGAUAGUUUUAUACAAAAUAAUCUGUAUAAUAGUUCUCUUAAUGAGGGGAAUGCUCAUUUUAGUCUUUUUUAAUCUUUAAAGUACCUGUGGGACAGAUGACUGCCCCAGGGAUUAUUUCCUAUCAGUAGAACAACAGUAACUACAUGUAAUAAAAUUAACAACAAAACAAGUGUUCAUAUAAUAAAAUUAAAAGAAAAGCUUCUAAUUACAGGUGUGUGUGUGUAAUUACAGGAGUGUAUGUGUGUAGGGGGGGAUCCCAUGUGCCUCUGGACUAUUAUUUACUGGAACUAAGAGCUGCCUUUGACUGCAGAGUAUAUUCCAAGGCACAGUUCUUCCCUCAAAGGCCUAAAAUCCAAUUGGCCUGUGACAGUGAACUCUAACAUCAAAGAAAGAAGAAGGAGGAAAAGGAAGAAAUAUCUCCAAACAAGGUGACUGACAUUGGUCAGAGAUAUGACUUUGAUCCUCUGUUGUAGCUGAGAUUGACAAUGAGAUGAACGUCAGAACCUUGUGAGAGACUGGAGGAAGGCAAAGACCUUCCCACCAGGAGGUAGUGGCAGAAAGGCCGUAACUGUGACAAGCAAACAUUGGCAUGGCAGAUGGUAAUAAGCCAGGCUCAGCUAAGAGGGUAGGAAGGAUCCCAAAGGGGAAAAGUAAGUUUUUCCAUGACAUUUUAAAUCUUCACCUUCUCCCUGGCUCUUUUUGACUCCUGAGACUUGGAACACACUGAGAAGAAAUCUUACCAAGUAAAUGAUUGUGGCCUUUGACCCCAGAACACCAGGGCCUUAUCUGCAAAGAGACUAAAUAGCAGGUGCCUGGCACAGAGUAGAUACUCAAAGGUUCAUUUUCUUCCCCUGGCUUACAUUCAGUUUUGAAAUAGAAGUUAUUUUCUUGUUCCUUUUGACCUUUGAAACAAUUACUGCUGGACUGGAAGGUGCUAAACUGGGACAAAAUACUAUAAUCUUCCCUGAAAGCAAGAGGUCAAGAAGAGGACAGCCUUACCUGACAUAGAGAGAUAUGGGCACCAUGGUGUUCAGAACGAUGAGAUAGCCCCAGAAAUUCAGGAAUCCGCGGUAGGAGGGAGUGGCAUUUUUUCCAUCAUAGAGAUACCAAGAGUAAUUGCCAACUUGUGCUUCCCAAUAUGCAUGGCCAAUGGCAAGCCCAGCAGAAAGCAGGAUGAGAACAACAAAGAUC